rnacentral:lncRNA from 1 species
CGGAAACUUCAGAGCUGUCAGACACUGCUGCGCCUCCUCCUGCUGCUGCCUGGCUGCUGAGAUUGGUGCAUCUGGAUGAAUCUGAUGUGUAUGUUUUCAUUCCUUUCCUUCCAGAACCCUUGGUAAAGAAAGUACACAGAGGGAUUCAUGAGUGCUUGGCCAACUCCAAGGUCCUGGGAGGACAUGAACCAGUGACUUUGAAUGUGAUGCUGAGCCCAGCAGGGAGCCAGUAUGACUCUCCCCAAAUCACAAGUGAGACUCAGAGGCCCCACUGGGCUCCCACAUGGACUCAGGCCACCGUCUUUGCUUAGAGGACGCAGCAGAAAGACUUGGCUCAUUUUCCAGGGGCAGACUUGGAGAGUUCUGGCAGGUCCAUACAUUUCAACUCCCUCCUCCCACCACAGCAGGCCUGCUCUUUUAUGUAUCCAAUGGGAAUAUUUUUCAUUAUCUUCCCUCUCAAUUUAAUUAAUCCACAUUCCGUAAUGAACCUUGAAAUUUCAUUAAACACAUCAUUACUAAUCAGCA